rnacentral:rRNA from 1 species
UCUUACGGCCAUACCACCCUGAGCGCGCCCGAUCUCGUCUGAUCUCGGAAGCUAAGCAGGGUCGGGCCUGGUUAGUACUUGGAUGGGAGACCGCCUGGGAAUACCAGGUGCUGUAAGCU